rnacentral:rRNA from 1 species
GAUGAACGCUGGCGGCGUGCCUAAUACAUGCAAGUCGAGCGAACGGACGAGAAGCUUGCUUCUCUGAUGUUAGCGGCGGACGGGUGAGUAACACGUGGAUAACCUACCUAUAAGACUGGGAUAACUUCGGGAGACCGGAGCUAAUACCGGAUAAUAUUUUGAACCGCAUGGUUCAAAAGUGAAAGACGGUCUUGCUGUCACUUAUAGAUGGAUCCGCGCUGCAUUAGCUAGUUGGUAAGGUAACGGCUUACCAAGGCAACGAUGCAUAGCCGACCUGAGAGGGUGAUCGGCCACACUGGAACUGAGACACGGUCCAGACUCCUACGGGAGGCAGCAGUAGGGAAUCUUCCGCAAUGGGCGAAAGCCUGACGGAGCAACGCCGCGUGAGUGAUGAAGGUCUUAGGAUCGUAAAACUCUGUUAUUAGGGAAGAACAUAUGUGUAAGUAACUGUGCACAUCUUGACGGUACCUAAUCAGAAAGCCACGGCUAACUACGUG